UGGGAGGCUGAGGCAGGAGAAUCGCUUGAACCCGGGAGGCGGAGGUUGCAGUGAGCCAAGAUCACACCACUGCACUCCAGCCUGGGCGACAAGAAAGAAACUAUGUCUCAAACAAACAAACUGAGAAUAACAAACUUUCCCAUGGACUGUCUUUACAAACAAAAACUGAAUGUGAAAGUAACUUCUCUAAGACCAGUAAUGGGACUACAGAGCCUGACUUAGCAGCUGGCCAGCACCGCGGAGGAAACGCCCUCUGACUACACAUCUGUUCCUGCAUUCACUCAACAAACAUCGAAGUGCCUGGCAUUGGUCUGCACGGCAUAAACAGAACAGAAGGGCUGCCUCCCAGUCCCACCCCUUCCACGCAUUCACUUCCUCACUCAUUCUUUCAGGAGACACCUGUGUCAGGCACGACGUGGUGAACUUUUAAAAACGGAUUCAGUAGUACCAAAAUACUCAUAAUGUGCAGACAGACAAAAGAACUGGAAGGAGUCGUGUUUUCAGACACAGGAAGCUUUUCACGUGCUCCACCUGGACCUCAUCUCUCAGCCUCACACUCCGAUCUUCAGCAGCCCCCGCUAUGCGCCCGAGUCUUGGGACGUCAUCCCGGAGCUCCUAGCCUGCCCGGGAGGCAGAGCCAUCAGAUUCUCCUCUUGGCCCCUUAUCCCAACUAAACACAUCACCACUGAGGACCUGUCCAGGGGUUUAGCUCCUGAUGAAGAGACAGAGAAAAGGUCAGAGAAAGGAAGGGUGACGCUCCAUCCAAGAUGACUACAGCGCUAUGAUUUCCAGAUGGGGAAGGUCACGGAUGCUGGACGCAACAGAAUCUCAACAGGGACCCGAGAGAGAGAGGCUCCUCUCUCCCUACACUAAUAUCCCACGAUCCCUGUGUCACUUUCCAGAACACACUGUCAGUUCCAUGGACCUAGGAUUAUAAAAUCCUGUAAGAUUUAUACAGAAAAUAUAAAAAUCUGGGGAGGGGGAACUGUGAAACAAUGUGAAAAAAACUAUUUGUCAAAUGGACAGUGGGGAAUAACUUCUCCUCCCGCACCUCCUCCAAGCUUCUAACAACACUCAUGGCACACAAUACAGAGGAGACUGCCAUAAAAAUGACUUAAAAUGUGCCCUUUUGAGGUAAAGUAACUAUGGGACAAGUGACUAUAAAAAUGACACAGCUGGGGAGAUCCAAAUCUAUUCCUGCUCAGCAAGUUUCCAGAUUAAAAUGUGUCUGCUUACCUAGUCAAGAUUUGGUUUUGUGCUGUUUUGUGUUUAAAUUUUCCUUUCAUAUAGAUGCUAGCAUGUUCUUCUUAAAAUAAAACACUUGUCCACCUCACUCCCCUCUCUGGGGAGACCCCUUGGUGGUCAGAGCCCACUGCCAGUUCCAUGGAAGUCCCAGGCAGGGGCAAGAGGGGACCUCUGUGGGAAGCAGUCUGACGGCCGCAGCAAUGGCCAAGCCCAAGGGCCGAGACCGCCUGCUCAAGAGAAAGGCGGGCUGCGCUGUCCCUGCUUCCUCUCUCCCCUUCCAUUCCCAUCCUCUUCCUUCUCUCAGCCUCCCCACCCUAGCCCCACUGCCAGCCAGGUGAACACUCCAAAGCAGCAGAUAAUUAAUGCCGGAUCUCCCAGGUCCCCAGAGGUCCCCAGUCUUCUUGUGAAAGAAGGCAAAAAACAUGCUCAAUUCCUUGUCGGCCAGCCAGUACCAAGCCAUUCCCAGCCCCAGCAUGAGACUGCAAACGUUACAAGGCAAUUCCCCAGAGCCAGCGGGGCACGCGGCAGGCAGUGCAGGGCUGUCAUCUGCAGACUCCAUUAUUAAAGGUCUCUGGAAACAUUUCAGCUGAGGGGUGGAGGGAGGGAGCAUGAAAAGGAGUAUAAGUCUCUGUUGAUUUUUGAGUGCCCAGGCCCUGCAAACGCCAUUCUUCAGACUCUGCUGCAGCGGAGGUCUCAUGGUUAUCAUAGUACAUAAUGAAAAUUAAAGAUGCUCAGGGUUAGAAAAACUCAGUUUCAUUUCGAAUCUAAAAUCUUUCAGAGCUUUCUUUCAGGAAGUCCAGAUAAUUAAACUGAUUUUAAGUUGCACUGUUUAUAAAAUCCUAGAUCUACAGAAAAUACAAAUUCUGGCCAAUCCUGUCUAAGCACGAUGGGUUUCCAAGUUUCCAUUUAUAUCACAUGAGAAGAUUCCAAAGCAGGCCUUGAAGGCAUUGGCGCUGUAACUGCAUUUAAUACUUAGCCCAGUUUAAACACCCCAUGACGUCAGUUCUCCCCGAUCCCUGAAGAGCUCACCAGCAGACAGGCAACUUCCA
rnacentral:lncRNA from 1 species